GACGAACCGAGCGAACGUUGUUCGGAAUCACUGGGCUUAAAGGGCGCGUAGGCGGGUGCUCAAGUCCGGGGUGAAAUCCUCCAGCUCAACUGGAGAACUGCCUCGGAUACUGGGUGCCUCGAGUGUGGUAGGGGUGUGCGGAACUAUCGGUGGAGCGGUGAAAUGCGUUGAUAUCGAUAGGAACUCCGGUGGCGAAGGCGGCACACUGGACCACAACUGACGCUGAGGCGCGAAAGCCAGGGGAGCGAACGGG
rnacentral:rRNA from 1 species